UACGUAGGGUGCGAGCGUUAAUCGGAAUUACUGGGCGUAAAGGGUGCGCAGGCGGUCUCGUAAGCUGGGUGUGAAAGCCCCGGGCUUAACCUGGGAAUGGCAUUCAGGACUGCGAGGCUUUGAGUGCGGCAGAGGGAGGUGGAGUUCCACGUGUAGCAGUGAAAUGCGUAGAGAUGUGGAGGAACACCGAUGGCGAAGGCAGCCUCCUGGGCCAGCACUGACGCUCAUGCACGAAAGCGUGGGGAGCAAACGGG
rnacentral:rRNA from 1 species